AUACGGAGGGGGCUAACGUUGUUCGGAAUUACUGGGCGUAAAGCGCGCGUAGGCGGAUUAGACAGUUGAGGGUGAAAUCCCGGAGCUUAACUUCGGAACUGCCCCCAAUACUACUAAUCUAGAGUUCGGAAGAGGUGAGUGGAAUUCCUAGUGUAGAGGUGAAAUUCGUAGAUAUUAGGAAGAACAUCAGAGGCGAAGGCGGCUCACUGGUCCGAUACUGACGCUAAGGUGCGAAAGCGUGGGGAGCAAACAGGAUUAGAUACCCUGGUAGUCCACGCCGUAAACGAUGGAAGCUAGUUGUUGGACGGUUUACUGUUCAGUGACACAGCUAACGCAUUAAGCUUCCCGCCUGGGGAGUACGGUCGCAAGAUUAAAACUCAAAGGAAUAGACGGGGACCCACACAAGCGGUGGAGCAUGGGGUUUAAUUCGAUAGUAAGCGAAGCACCUCACCCAGACUUGACAUCCCGGAAACGUCCUAGAGAUAGGAAAGUGCCGUAAGGAAUCCGGUGACAGGCGUUGCAUGGUCGUCGUCAGC
rnacentral:rRNA from 2 species